CAGCGCUGCUGCCAGCUAGCUGCGUCUUAUCAGUCUGUGCCCCUCCCACACCCUCCUAGCUCAGGGUGAACACAGCCAGGCUGAAGGAAGCCUCAUCUGAUGGACAGGACCUCAUCUGGAUUCAUCAGGAAGGAAGGAAGUCUGGCCCUCCCUGCAUGUGACCAUGGCCACUCCCAUGGUCAGCAGCCUCUGAGCAGGAGUGGGCGGGACCUGGCCAGCACUCCUGUCACUUUCAUCCAUGAAACCCGACCUUCCUUACUGCUCCUGGGCUCCCAAGUGGAUGUGCGACCACCCAACCUUCCCAGUCCUCCUGAGUGGGUGUGUGACCAGCCCUCGGCGGCUUUCUUAUGACUGGAAAGUGCAGCCACGACAAGGGAGCGGCCAGCCAGGAGGGAGCAAUGACCACCCGGGCUGGCCCUGGAAUUGCUGGAGCCACCAGAAAGACCACCCACAAAGAGCUCCAAGGAAACACCACCGGAGGCCAGAAAUGGGAGUGGGGCGGGGAUCUGGAGCGGGGAGGUGACAAGGCUGAGAAGGAGCGGGUAGUCCUGGCACGAUCCCAUGCGGUGGCCACCUGCCUGGGUUAGCCUCAGCACGCCACCACUGCGACCUCUUUAUUCCUCUUAAACUAGGUUGAACAAGUUCUGUCUGCAAUCAGACAGGUCCCACCUAAUACAGCUGCUCUAUAAAUGUGGAGGCUGGGCAGGGAGAAGGCAGAUAAAUCAAUGGCACAUUUUUUUUUCCUGAUAGAAAAUGUGUCCAAGGUCCCAGGGAGCAAAAGUUGCUCACAGCUUUCAAUUCACCCCAGGCUGCCCCUCACAAGGCAAAAUGGACAAGGGGGAACAGAAUUCCCCUUCCUGGCCCUUCCCUGGUGUGCUGGGCCCCAUUUCCCAUCCGCUCGGGGAGAGCCGACCGUGUGCAGAGAGCAGCUGGACCUGGGUGGCUCCCUCUGCCCAGACUCCAGCGCCGCAUGACGUGCAGCCCCUCAGCGGGAGCAAGUGUGGGGCCGUGGGCCUGGGCCAGGGCCAGCCGAGGAGAGAUCACCCUGGGCUGGGUCUGUCUUCAAUUCCAGGCUGAAGCCAUCUCUGUGGAGGGUUGGGGUGCCUGCGGCCACCUGCACAUGUAAGCUCUUCCCUUUAGCAGCCCAGAGGAUGGAGCCCCACGGCCGUCAGGAGACCCCAGCAGGGCUCUCAUGGACAGAGAGAGGAGGACAGCCUAGGCUGAGCAGCCUGACACAGACAGCAGGUGGCUCCUGGAAAACGUGAACUCACACAGCACUGCCUUUCUCUCUGGGAAGCCGCCGGCCACGGGUUUCGCCUCUUCGGGAAGGGACGCAUGGCCCAGGCUGACCAAGGCCUUCAGUGACGGCCUUGCACUCAGCAGGGUCCCGGAAGGGUCGGGCCCGGUCAGAACAGGCUCCACUGCUGUUGCACAGCGACCGCAGACAGCGCAUCUCCAACGGGAAUGAAGUGGAUUUGGACACUCACUGGCCAUUUGUGAGUGAAAAUAUCCCCACUUUGUCUAUUGAGCACGUAAAGUGGUCCCAGAGCUACCAGUUUCAGAAUGAGCCGUGGAGGUCGUGAGUCACGCGAUGAGGCUGCGCUUUUGCCAUUUUCUCGUACUUUGGAAAAAUGAUAUAAUAAAAAAGCUAUCUACCAGCCACCAGAGUCAUGCAAUUCGAGGCGUACCUAACGGCCACCCAGCGUUAGCUGCACACAGCAUGGACAUUGAGGAGGACUGCAGCCCCACGCAAAGUGACACACGUCAGACUCACCCUGCACAGAGGCCACGUGACUGCCCCAGCCCAAGCCUAGGAGAAGCAUUAGGACACAGCAACCAUUUUCUCCAACACCUGCUAGAAAAGAGCUCAUACGUGGAGGAGACGGCAUCCUGCUUUUGGCUUUAAAAUUUGGUUGCCCUAACUCUAUGCCAUAUUCUGAGAACUAAAAGAUAUCGCCCCUGAAAGGCAGCCACAGUCUACUUCAAGAGGCCAAAAAUGUGAAGAAAAAAAUACUAUACAGGCACAUGAUCAAAUGCAAGCGCCGGGAUACGUAAGGGAGCAGACAGCCCGUUCUAAGGGGAGCCACAGUUGUACUAGUCACCGAACGACGCGGCCUGGGUGUGCCGGCCACUGUGCCUCUGAUACACCCGUCACCUCCACCUGGGAGGUCCUUCCACCUGUGCCUCUCGUACACCCGUCACCUCUCCCUGGCUGGUCCUUCCACCUGUUCUGCACCUAGGAAACUCCCACACAGUCCUUAGAGCUGAGCUCAGAUGACACUUGCUCAGGAAAGGCCUCUCUCCUCUUCUACUCCUCUGUGAGACCUUCCCCUGGGUCCCGGCUCACUCAUGACUCUACUUUCCAAAUCACACCGGGUGCUGUGCCUCUGUCUCAGUGCACUCAACUCCAGCUGGCCUAUGGGUCUGCUCCACAGCAGGCUCCACUUAGAAGGACACGGAGCUGAGGAAGGAGGGCAGGGCCAGGUUACUACACAACCUCCAAUGCCGAGGCAAUGCCUUCAGACUUUGUCUUGGUGGCAAUAUAAAGUUAUGGGAGCGUGUGUGCAGAAUCAGAACUGUUUUUUGGUUGGGGGAGACAGCCUCACUCUGUCUUUGGGAUAAAAUUAAAACCUGUAACAGGUCUAUGGGG